UAGGGAAUCUUCGGCAAUGGGGGGAACCCUGACCGAGCAACGCCGCGUGAGUGAAGAAGGUUUUCGGAUCGUAAAGCUCUGUUGUUAAGGAAGAACGAGUGUGAGAAUGGAAAGUUCAUGCUGUGACGGUACUUAACCAGAAAGGGACGGCUAACUACGUUCCAGCAGCCGCGGUAAUACGUAGGUCCCGAGCGUUGUCCGGAUUUAUUGGGCGUAAAGCGAGCGCAGGCGGUUAGAAAAGUCUGAAGUGAAAGGCAGUGGCUCAACCAUUGUAGGCUUUGGAAACUGUUUAACUUGAGUGCAGAAGGGGAGAGUGGAAUUCCAUGUGUAGCGGUGAAAUGCGUAGAUAUAUGGAGGAACACCGGUGGCGAAAGCGGCUCUCUGGUCUGUAAAUGACGCUGAGGAUCGAAAGCGUGGGGAGCGAACAGG
rnacentral:rRNA from 1 species